GGGGCGCCAUCACUGCAGCGCUGGCACCGGAAGGCUGAAGGGAUCAGAACGCCUCAAGUAACGCCGACCUGAUGGUUAGGGCGGAGGGACCCGGUUCUUCCAGGACACAAACCAGCCUCCCCUUAGGCCCAAGUGGUGGAUUCCAGAAGGAAGAACUUGCUGACAAUGACAAUCAGCUUACAACAGCGGCGGCGAGCUGCGCGUGGCUGCAGGUCUCUAGAGUCCACCCCAGGCCCUUUCCCGACCACCUUUGGGGGCGCUGGCGCUGUCCUCUCUCUGUUGUGCGAGGAGUCCCCAGGAGUUUCACCGGCCUGAGAGGGAAAAGGGGGCCUUCGACCCUCUUCAGAAAGUCCUUUCCUUUCCACGAGUAACACCUUCAUCAGAACAUUUAUUUUUGCUAAUUCUUUGAAGUCUGGAUUGAAGUUGAAUUUUUCCAGAGCAAAUUUCUUUUUGCUUCUGCUGUCUGCUGGGAGUGGUACCAAACCUGGUUGCUGCUACAUUUAAUUUUCCACUUAAGGCUUUUGGACCAUAUGGUUCCAAGAAGUGACAAGUUGAAGGUCAUGAUCCUUUUGCUGACACAGAGCCUGGCACAUGGAGGCACCAAAUGCAUGUUAGUCUAGGCACUGUGGAGGAGCUCAGAUUGUGUUUGUUGAUUGACUGAGUGAGCAAAUGAAGAAUGACUAAACCAAGCACAAAGCUGGGCGUCCUAAGGUGGAGCUGGGCUAAGGAAAGUGACUGUCUCUAGGGCCUUCACAAUUGAGGCAGGACCUUAUCCACCAUUUGACCAGGGUGAGGAACUGUGCAGGGCACCCAGGUGUGACCCAACCAUGUCCAUUGUUCCUCUCUGUCCCUUUGAUGGACAGCCUGUACCCACGACACUCUUUCCAGACGCUGCCUGCAUCCUAGUUCCCUGUCCUAUCACCUCUGCAUGGAAAGAUGUGGAGUUGGCCACAUUGAUCCCAACACCAAUGGGAUCACCUGAGGAUGGAUCUGGUGACUGACCCUGUGCCUUCUCACAGUACAGGCUUUGGGAUCCACAGCAACCCAGGCAGAGUUUGUAACAGUGCAGGUUCCCAGGCCCCAUCCCAGACUGCCUGAGUCACUCUGGGCCUGAACCCAGGAAGAGUUAACCAUCUGGAGACUGUAGAUUGUAACAAUUUCCUUGGGUGACUUCCAGGCAGGCUAAAGUGUAAGAAAGGGUGCCAUGAAUCAGCAAAACAGUCAGCACUUCAACUUGCAACCUGAGCAUCCCACAGGGGUCCCAGCCAUCGUAGUACCAGCUACAUUUGCUGAAGUGUGAGGCCUGGACUGCAGGCAGGCUCCAGGCCAACCCUUCCUUGCAUGACUUGCUCAGGGAUCUGUAUGACAUGCUGGUGCCAUUCUCUCCAUUUUACAGAUGAGGGACCAGAGGCCCACAGCACUGAAGUACCUAGCUAAAAAGCUGGAACACCAUAUUACCCUGCCUCCCUGACAGCUUUCCUCCAUCCAAGUGGCCCAACUGUGGUUCAGAAAAUACAGCCUCAUUAAAGACAGGUGCUUGAAACC